UGAACGCUGGCGGCAGGCCUAACACAUGCAAGUCGAACGGUAACAGGAAUCAGCUUGCUGAUUUGCUGACGAGUGGCGGACGGGUGAGUAAUGUCUGGGAAACUGCCUGAUGGAGGGGGAUAACUACUGGAAACGGUAGCUAAUACCGCAUAACGUCGCAAGACCAAAGAGGGGGACCUUCGGGCCUCUUGCCAUCGGAUGUGCCCAGAUGGGAUUAGCUAGUAGGUGGGGUAACGGCUCACCUAGGCGACGAUCCCUAGCUGGUCUGAGAGGAUGACCAGCCACACUGGAACUGAGACACGGUCCAGACUCCUACGGGAGGCAGCAGUGGGGAAUAUUGCACAAUGGGCGCAAGCCUGAUGCAGCCAUGCCGCGUGUAUGAAGAAGGCCUUCGGGUUGUAAAGUACUUUCAGCGGGGAGGAAGGGAGUAAAGUUAAUACCUUUGCUCAUUGACGUUACCCGCAGAAGAAGCACCGGCUAACUCCGUGCCAGCAGCCGCGGUAAUACGGAGGGUGCAAGCGUUAAUCGGAAUUACUGGGCGUAAAGCGCACGCAGGCGGUUUGUUAAGUCAGAUGUGAAAUCCCCGGGCUCAACCUGGGAACUGCAUCUGAUACUGGCAAGCUUGAGUCUCGUAGAGGGGGGUAGAAUUCCAGGUGUAGCGGUGAAAUGCGUAGAGAU
rnacentral:rRNA from 1 species